rnacentral:rRNA from 1 species
UCCACGCUGUAAACGAUGAGAACUAGGUGUGGGGGGUAUUGAUACCUUCUGUGCCGCAGCUAACGCAUUAAGUUCUCCACCUGGGGAGUACGUUCGCAAGAAUGAAACUCAAAGGAAUUGACGGGGGCCCGCACAAGCGGAGGAACAUGUGGUUUAAUUCGAUGAUACGCGAGGAACCUUACCCGGGCUUAAAUGCAGGACGACCGGCUGAGAAAUCAGCCUUUCUUCGGACG